UAAGUGGAAAACGAUGUGGGAAGGCCCAGACAGCCAGGAGGUUGGCUUAGAAGCAGCCACCCUUUAAGAAAGCGUAAUAGCUCACUGGUCAAGUCGGCCUGCGCGGAAGAUGUACCGGGGCUAAGUUGUGUACCGAAACUGCGGAUGCAAGCUUUGCUUGCAUGGUAGGGGAGCGUUCUGUAGGCCUGCGAAGGUGUGCCGUGAGGCAUGCUGGAGGUAUCAGAAGUGCGAAUGCUGACAUGAGUAACGAUAAAGGGGGUGAAAGACCCCCUCGCCGGAAGUCCAAGGUUUCCUGCACAAUGUUAAUCAGUGCAGGGUUAGUCGGGUCCUAAGAUGAGGCCGAAAGGCGUAAUCGAUGGUUAACAGGUUAAUAUUCCUGUACCGCGUUUAACUGCGAUGGGGUGACGGAGAAGGCUAGGCCAGCCGGGUGUUGGACGUCCCGGUUUAAGCGNGUAGGGAGUACCCUUAGGUAAAUCCGGGGGUGCAAUUCCAAGACGUGAUGACGAAGUCUCUUUUGAGACUGAAGUGGUUGAUGCCAUGCUUCCAGGAAAAACCUCUAAGCUUCAGGUUAAACGUGUCCGUACCCCAAACCGACACAGGUGGACAGGGCGAGAAGCCUAAGGCGCUUGAGACAACUCGGGUGAAGGAACUCGGCAAAAUGACACCGUAACUUCGGGAGAAGGUGUACCCUCGGUAGGUGAAGGUCUUCGCGACCAGAGCCCAAGGGGGUUGCAACAAAGAGGUGGCUGCGACUGUUUAUUAAAAACAUAGCACUCUGCAAACUCGUAAGAGGACGUAUAGGGUGUGACGCCUGCCCGGUGCCGGAAGGUUAAUUGAUGGGGUUAGUCUUCGGACGAAGCUCUUGAUCGAAGCCCCGGUGAACGGCGGCCGUAACUAUAACGGUCCUAAGGUAGCGAAAUUCCUUGUCGGGUAAGUUCCGACCUGCACGAAUGGCGUAACGAUGGCCACACUGUCUCCACCCGGGACUCAGUGAAAUUGAACUUGCUGUGAAGAUGCAGUGUACCCGCACCAAGACGGAAAGACCCCGUGCACCUUUACUACAGCUUUACGCUGGACUUUGAACAUGUUUGUGUAGGAUAGGUGGGAGGCUUUGAAGCUGGGACGCUAGUUCUGGUGGAGCCAACCUU
rnacentral:rRNA from 1 species